UACGGGGGGUGCGAGCGUUGUCCGGAAUCACUGGGCGUAAAGGGCGCGUAGGUGGCGUGAUAAGGGUGUGGUGAAAGCCCGGGGCUCAACCCCGGGUCUGCCAUGCCGACUGUCAGGCUAGAGUACUGUAGGGGCAGGCGGAAUUCCGGGUGUAGCGGUGGAAUGCGUAGAGAUCCGGAAGAACACCGGUGGCGAAGGCGGCCUGCUGGGCAGUGGCUGACACUGAGGCGCGACAGCGUGGGGAGCAAACAGG
rnacentral:rRNA from 1 species